CAAUCUACAAAGAACAGUCCACAACUAUAUGAUUAGCAGCCGCUACCGUGACCUGAAAUACCUGGAUCUGCACACAAGGUACAGGAGGUAACGUGAGUACGCCAACUCAGUAAGUAACAAGAUCAAUCUAUGGACUGACAGGUGGUGAUAAACCAAACCUCAGUAGGUAAUAACAUAUAACUGAAUAGGAAAGUGGGCAUGCUUACAGUUCAAGUAAAGCUUGAUAGUAUUUAAAUGCAACUGAACAGUACAAACUUCAAAACUAAGAGAUUUUAUAUAUAUAUAUAUAUAUACCAAUGCACAACUAACCGGAGAAAUAUUCAUGAAUAUUCAAUCACAAGUGCUCAAUCACUCGGUACUGUAUAUGACCAUCUGGCCUUGGAAAAAUCCAUCUCGGAAUGUAUAUCACUGACCGCAGUCAUUCAGUACCAAAGACACAGGCCAAUCCAGCCUCAAGGAGAAGUUCCAUCUCCCGGAAUAAUACUUCGGACAAGAUCCAUGCCUAGGGAAGAUCCAUCCCUCAACAUCAUCAAUUGCACUGGGGGUGUAAGGACUCUGGAGGGGCUUCUCUUAUUAGCCCAAGCGCUAUAACAAAGCCAACGAAGGCUUGUUCAAUAUCUCGAUGCGGUGUGCAGCCCGACCAUUUCUACCACUCAAUAUUAGGCUCUCGGCCUUACUCAGUCAUAACUUAGCAGUCUCACAUACAUGAGCUCAAAUAUCAAGAUACUAGCAUGAUGUAUCAAAUAGUAAUAACCGAGACUGAGACAUGAUAUAAUAUGCAUGAAUAAGAUUGAGUACAGAAUAAUAACAAAACAAAUUAUAUGAUAUCAAGAAACGACCUCUUGGGUCUCAAUAAUAUUGGCGUAAAGGCUUCACAUGAUAAUCAAAAUGAUUCAUAACUCAUCAACUAAAUCACAUACUUACAACACAAGUAUCGGUAAGAAAGAACGAUUAAGCGGUGCUCUGGAAUGAUCCAGACCAUGUUUCUCACAGUGCACGCUCACAGCCCGUCACUUGGCAUUGCGUCACCUUUAUAAUAACAUAGAACACAUAUUCGCGGUUUCGGACCCUGAGAACCAAGAUUGAAAGCGUUACUUACCUCAAGCAAGCCAAACUCUAUCCCGUGACACCCUUUGCUCUCGAUUCGGCCUCCAAAUGCCUCGAAUCUAAUCAAAAUCAGUUUAUAAUCAUCAAUAUACGCUCUAGCCCGCGAUGCCCUUUCCUCUCGAUUCGGCCUCCAAAUGUCUCGAAUCUAACAAAAAUCAGUUUAUAAUAAUCAAUAUACGCUAAAGGAGUGAAACCCAUACGAAAUUAAUCAAAUUACAUCACAAAUCCAGAAAUUAACCAAACUCGACCCUCAAGGCCACGUCUCGAAAUCCACUAAAAAUUAAAUCAAUAGAAUCUUCAUCCUCCCACGAGUUCGUACAUAUCAAAUAUACCAAAAUCCAACCACAAAUGGCCCCUCAAAUUCCUAAAUUUAGGUCUCCAAUUCCUAAGCCCUAAAACCCAAUUUUUUGCUACUGAUUUUCCCGUAGAUUUCACGCUUACAAUGUUAAAAAUCAUCAUAAAAACAAGUUUAGGGACCAAAAACCUUGCCUCUACAAAACCCUCUUGAAUUUUCUCUCCUAAGAUUUUUCCAAUUUGAAAGUGAUGGAAAAUAACCCAAAUUUGCGAAGGGCGAACUACAUAUGUUCUGCCCCAGCAAAACUGCAUCUGCGAUCAAAAUGCUCGCACCUGCGGAACCCACUUACCUGCACCUGCGAUCGAAAUCUCGCACAUGCGCCAUAUCAGGUGCACCAAAUAAUCCGUAUCAGCGGCUCCAACCAUUUAUCCCAUUGGCCACAUCUGUGUUCCCCCUUUAGCUUCUACGGGCCAGUACCUGUGGUCCCUAAGUCACAGGUGCAGUUAUAACUGGAACUUUAGCACUUCAGCUGCUAAUUCCAACUAAAAACCUCCCGUCAACCAUCCAAAAUCACCCCGAGGCCCCCCAGGACCUCAACCAAAAGUAUGAACAAGUCAUAUACCACCUUUCAAACUUAUUCCAAUCUUCGAAACACCUAAAAUGACAUCAAAACACCAAAUCAACCAUAGAUUCAAGCAUAAGAACUCCAAAAACUUCCAAAUUUCGCUUUUGAUUGAAAAAUCUAUAAAACCUCGUCCGAAAUUCCAACUCCUAUAUCAAAAUUCAACUACCAACCGGAAAACGCCAAAAUUUCAAUUUCACCAAUUCAAGCCUAAAUCUACUUUGGACCUCCAAAACUCUUUCUGAUCAUGCUUCUAAGUCCCAAAUCACCUUCCAAAAUUACCAAAAUCUUAAAAACCAAAUUCCGAGAUUGUUUGCUCACAAGUCAGCUUUCGAUUGACUUUUCCAACUAAAAGACCAAUUUAAUAGACUAAGUGUCUUAAACUUUUCCAAAAAUCAUUUCUGAUUCGAACCGACCAACCUGAUACCAUAUAACAUAUAUGAACAAAGCACAUAGACGCAAAAAUAGGGGAAACGGGGUGGUAACUCAUGAAAUGACCAACCGAAUCGUUACAUCCUUCCCCUUUUAAACAAAUGAUCAUCCUCGAAUGGGUCAAGAAGCAUACCUGAAGCCUCAAAUAGGUGAGGAUAUCUGCUCCGCAUCUCCCGCUCGGCCUCCCAGGUAGCAUCCUCCACCGGCUGACCUCUCCAUUGCACUUUUAUUGAAGCUAUAUCCUUUGAUCUCAAUUUCCUAACCUGAUGAUCUAAAAUGGUUGUUGGCUCCACAUCUAAGUCAAAUCACCCUCUAAUUGAACUGUGCUGAAAUCCAGAAUAUAAGAAGGAUUCCUAUUAUACUUCCGAAGCGUAGAAACAUGAAAUACCGGAUGCACUCUUGACAAGUUGGGUGGAAAAAAGCAAGCUCAUAAACCACCUCCCCUUCCUCCGAAGCACCUCAAAAGACCCAAUCAACCGUUGUCUCAAUUUACCCUUCUUCUUAAAUCUCACAACACCCUUCAUUGAUGAAACCUUUAGUAGAACCUUCUCCCCAACCAUAUAGGACAUAUCACGAACCUUCCUGUCAGCAUAACUCUUGUGUCUCGACUACGCUGUAUGAAGCCUCUCAUGAAUCACCUUUACCUUGUCCAAAUCAUCCUGCACCAAAUCUAUUCCCAAUAGCCUAGCCUCUUUUCGGCUCGAACUAACUAAUUGGAGAUCUACACCGUCUCCCAUACAAAGCCUCAUAUGGAACCAUCUGAAUAUUUGACUCGUAGCUUUUGUUAUAUGCAAACUUUGAGAGUGGAUCCCGUGAACCACCGAAGUCAAUCACACAAGCGUGCAACAUGUCCUCCAAUAUUUAAAUAGUGCGCUCGGAGUGUCCGUCCAUCCGAGGCUGAAAAGUUGUGCUCAACUCGACCUGAGUACCCAACUCUCUUUGCACAGCCCUCCAAAACUAUAAUAAACUGAGUGCUUCCAUCUGAAAUGAUAGAAACUAGGACAUCAUGCAAGCGAACAAUCUCUCAGAUAUAUAUCUCCGCCAACCGCUUGAAGAAUAGGUAGUACAAAUAGGAAUUUAGUGCGCGGUCUUUGUCAGCCGAUCCACAAUCACCCAAAUAGCAUCAAACUUCUUCAAGGUAUGUGGGAGCCAAACUAGAAAAGCCAUGGUGAUCUGCUCCCACUUCCACUCUUAAAUGUCCAUCUGCUGAAGCAAGCCACCGAGUAUCUAAUGCUCAUAUUUCACCUGCUGACAAUUGAGACACCGAGAUGCAAAUCCCACAAUACUUUCUUCAUCCCUCUCUACCAAUAAUGUUGUCUCUGAUCCUAAUACAUCUUCGCAACACCAAGAUGAAUGAAAUACCGCAAGCUAUGGGCCUCCUCUAGAAUCAACUCCUAAAGACCAUCCACAUUGGGCAUACAAAUUCGGCCCUCCAUCCUCAACACCCCAUCAUAACCGAAGGUCACAUCUCUGGCAUCUUCGUGCUGAUAUCUGUCCUUAAGGAUAAGAAAGCUAGGAUCAUCAUACUAGCGCUCUCUGAUGAGAUCAAACGAGGAAGACCGAGAAAUCACACUAGCUAAGAUCCGACUGGGCUCCAAAAUAUCCAGUCUCACCAACUAGUUGGCCAAGGCCUGAUCAUCAACUGCAAUAGGUGUCUCCCCAACAGGAAUAAAUGCAAGAAUGCCCAUGCUAACUGACUUCCUACUCAAAGCAUCGGCCACAACAUUGGCCUUCCACGAAUGGUACAAAAUAGUAAUAUCAUAAACCUUAAGCAGCUCCAAACAUCUCCGCUACCUCAAAUUGAGAUCCUUCUGUUUGAACAAGUGCUGAAGGAUGCGAUGAUCAGUAAACACCUCACAAGACACAGUAUACAAGUAAUGCCUCCAAAUAUUUAAUGCGUGAAAAAUGGUAGUGAACUCUAAAUCAUGAACAGGGUAGUUCUUCUCGUGGGGCUUCAACUGACGAAAAGCAUAAGCAAUAACCCUACCUUCCCGCAUCAACACACAUCUAAUAUCCACUCUUGAAGCAUCAUAAUACACAAUAUAUGAAAUUGAAGCUGAUGGCGGAACUAACACUAGAGGGCUGGUCAAGGAAUACUUGAGCUUCUAAAAGCUCGUCUCACCCAUCCGACCACUGGAAUGGAGCACCCUUCUAAGUCAACUUGGUCAAGGGUGAUGCAAUAGAUGAAAAUCCAUUAAUGAACCAACUGUAAUAACCCAUCAAACCAAGAAAGCUACGGAUCUCCGUGGCUGAGGACAGUAUGGACCAACUCUGAACCGCCUCUAACUUCUUCGGAUCAACCUGAAUACCCUUGCUGGAUACCACGUGCCCCAAGAAAGACACUAAACUGAGCCAAAACUCAAACUUGGAGAACUAUACAUAAUGUUUCUCCUCCCUCAAUCUCUGCAAUACCACUCUCAAAUGCUCUGCGUGCUCCUCCUAACUACGCGAGUAUAGUAGAAUAUCAUCAAUGAAAACUAUCAAAGGAGUCAAGAUACGGAUGGAACAUGCUGUUUAUCAAAUGCAUGAGCGUUGCUGGGGCAUUGGUCAGCCCAAAAGACAUCACAAAGAACUCAUAGUGACCCUAUCGGGUCCUGAAGGUUGUCUUAAGAAUAUACGAGUUCCAUGAUCUUAGACUACUGAUACCCUAAACGGAGAUAAAUCUUGGAGAACACACUCGCACCCUAAAGCUGGUCGAACAAAUCAUCAAUGCGAGGCAGGGGAUACUUGUUCUUAACUGAAACCUUGUUCAGCUGCCUGUAAUCAAUCCACAUCGUCAUAGUGCCAUCAUUCUUAUUUGCAAACACAACAGCACACCUUACGGUGAAACACUCGGCCGAAUAAAGCCCUCAUCAAGGAGUUCCUAAAUUUUUUUCUUCAACUCUUUCAACUUUGUUGGGUCCAUGCGAUACGGUGGAAUAGAAACGGGCUGAGUAACCAGCACCAGGUCAAUACCAAAAUCAAUAUCCUUGUCUGGUGGCACACCUGACAGGUCUGUAGAAAACACAUCAGGAAAAUCCCUCAAAAGUAGAACAAAAUUAAAGCUGGAAGUAUAUGUACUGACAUCCCUCACAAAUGCUAAAUAUGAAAAACAACCUUUCCCAACCAUCCGUUGGGCCUUCAAGAAUGAAAUUACCCUACUAGGAACAUAAUCAGACAAACCUCGCCACUCAAUCAGUGGCACACCUGGCAUAGGUAGUGUUAAUGUCUUAGCGUGAUAGUCCAAAAUAGCCCGAUACAGUGAUAACCAACCAAUGCUUAAUAUCACGUCGAAGUCCACAAUGCAAAGUAACAGAAGAUCCACUCUGGUCUCAAAACCCCUAAUAGUCACCACACACGACCAGUAUACAUGGUCUAUAACUCGUCUACCGGAGUAGAUACAUAAACAGACGAAGCAAGAAACUCACGGGGCGUAUCAAAAUAAUGAGCAAAAUAUGACGAUACAUAAGAAAAAGUAGAGCCAGAAUCAAAUAAUACAAAGGAAUCUCUAUGGCACACUAAGAAAAUACCUGUAAUCACGACAUCUGAAGCAAUAACAUCUGGUCUAGCUAUGAGGGUACAGAAAUGCACCUGACCACCACCUGAUCGGCCUCCCCCUCUAGGGCAGCCCCUAACCGACUAACUUCCACCCCGAACUAACUGAGUGAGUGGGGAAGUAACUGGUGCUGAAACUGAAGGUUGGCUCCUCUGCUGGGAUGAUCCUCAUGUAAGACGUGGACAAAACCUAUUGAUAUGACCCAAAUCUCCACACUCAAAGCAACCUCUCACGGAAAAUGGUUGUGGGGAGUGGAGGGAGCCCCACGCACCGAGAUGCCCACUUGAAGAACCAGGCAUAGAUGAGCCCUGAACUGAUGGUGCCAUAGUCAAACUCUAACCUAGAAGGGCAUUGAGAGAUGAGUGACUCUAAUGUGAACUGUGAGAACCAUGGCCAAGUAACCCACAAUGAUGACCUGAAUGGGAUGGCUGAGCAUGCCUAAAUAGAUGGCAUUUGCCGUGCUAAAACUGACCUCCCGAAGAAGUACCACCAAUGCUACGAGAUCCCCAAAACCUCUUGGCGUUCCUAUCAUCUCUCUCCUGGUGAUGAGCUGAGUCGAUCUAUCUAACAAUAUUAACUACCUCGUCAAAUGAAAAGCCAGAUACCCUCUCUCUCUGGUCAGAAAAAUCUGUAGCUGAUAGUUGAAGCCAUCAAUGAACCUCCUAAUCAUCUCCCUGUCCGUGGGAACUAGCCAGAUAGCAUGACGGGCCAACUCAGAGAACCUCAUCUCAUGCUGUGACAUAGACAUACUCUCCUGACGUAGCUGCUCAAACUUCCUGCACAGCUCCUCCCUACCGGAAUGUGGUACAUACCUCUAAGAAGUGAGUGGAGAACUGAUGUCAGGUGAGGGGCAGUGCACAAACAGGCUUACGCCUCUCAUACUCCUGCCAUCAAGUGAAGACAACCCUAGAAAACUGACAAGUGGUAAAUGCAACUCCACUAGUCUCCAGAAUUCCUGCUAUACAUAGAGUCCUCUAACACUUGUCUAAGAAACCCUAAGCCUCCCCACCCUCUGCUCUGUUGAAAAUCGGGGCCGAAGUAUACCAAAUCUCUCCAAUCGACACAGCUCAUCGUCAGGCAUAACUGGAACCACAAAAUCCUGAGCAGAAGCAACCGGUUAGGCUGGUGGUGCCUAUGAUGUUUGAAGUCCCUCCACAACCUACUCAGGCAUGCGAGUGGCGGGAGUCUGAAUGCCUCCCCUGGCCUGGGAAGUAGCUGCCAUAUUAGAGAUUGCGACUACCUGAGCGAUACUGGUGACACUGUCAGAAUUUGAGCCAAGGUCUCAUGGAGACCCGAAAUAACAAUAGGCACAACUGGUUCCUGAGCCGGUACUGCUGGAGCAUCCUCCGUUGGAGCCUGAUCGUGAACUAGGGAGGCCGGUGGAUCUAUAUGUGCUGCCCUAGCUGGUGUGUGGGCAACACCCCUGCCCCUACUACGGCCUCAACUAUGUCCUUGGCCUCUAGUGGCCCCAGCUGAUGGUACUGGUGGUCGUCCAACCUGUCCGGCAGCACGUGUCCUCACCAUAUGUGAUAAAAUGGACUAACAAAAGUUUAGUAGUAGAAUCAAUAGAUUCACACGACAGAAAUUAAAGAAUUUGUAUUUCCCUAAAGGUUCUGCAGCCUCCCGAGGAUAAAUACAGACAUCUCCGCACUAAUCCGCGAGACUCUACUAAACUUGCUCAUGACUCGUGAGACCUACAUAACCUAGGCUUUAAUACCAAUAUGUCACGACCCAAAAACUGAACCAGUCGUGAUGGCGCCUAUCGUGAAACAAGACCAACCAUUUAUUUCCGAAGUACUCCAUACUUAAGAAAAUUAUAAUUUUCGAAGAAAUCCAAUAAGAUAAAAGUCAAAAUCCAAAACAUGCGGAAAGAAAUACAAGCCCGGCCUCGGGUGUCACUACUCAUGAGCAAAAAUACUACAACUGUUCGAUAUAAAAAAGACUACAUAUCUGAGAAUAUCCAACAAGUAUGCUAAAAGGAAAAUAAAGAAGGAGAAGGCGGACCUGCAAUUGCCAAGCAGCUACCUCGCAAUCCACAAAGAAUAGUCCACAACGAUAUGUUUAGUAGCCGCUAUCGUGACCCGAAAUACCUGGAUCUGCACACAAUAUGCUGGAGUAACGUGAGUACACCAACUCAGUAAGUAAUAAGUCUAACCUAUGGACAAACAAGAAGUGACGAACCAAACCUCAGCAGGUAAUAACAUAUAACUGAACAUGAAAGUAGGCAUGAAACUAUACAGUACAAAGUUCAAAACUCAUAUAUAUAUAUAUAUUACUUAUUCCUAAAGCAGGCCAAAAUUUAGAUUCUAAUUAAACAAGCAGAUGUUAAUAUAACUAAUUUAGAAAAAGACUUAAUUAAUUAGGACAACACAAUAAACAAUUAAUCAAAUUUUAAGAAAGCAAAAGUUCUUUGAAUUUACAAAUCUUGACUAGCCAUCAUGCUUCAAGACUAAAAACAGAUACUUUUAACAAAUUUGAAUCUUGACCAAACGGAAUUCAAACAUACACAACUUAACUAAAUUAAUAAUUUUUUAAAUCAUAAGACAAAAAUUAGAUAAAAAGAAAUUAGUCCCAAGUAAAAUCUAAACUAAGUGACAGAAAAGAGAUGAUCAAUUAUGUGCUCUACCUAAAUUAAACAGGGAUAAUAGAAAAACAAAAAAACGAGAAGAAGAAAAGGAACGUUGGAAAGGAAGAAGAGUGUACUAUUUAUGAACCAAGAAAACAUGAGAGAAAUCAGCGAUUGCCGGUAACUUUGGACGGAAUUCCAACACCUUCAAAAUGAACUAAGACUAAUGCUAAUCGAUUGUUCUCAAUGAGAUAUAUAUAUAUAUAUGCAUAACUAACAUGAGCAAUAUUCAUGAAUCUCCACUCAAAAGUGCUCAACCACACGAUACUGUAUAUGACCAUCCGGCCCAGGGAAAAUUCAUCCCAGAAUAUAUAUCACUGACCGUAGUCAUCCAGUCCCAAGGACACAGUCCAAUCUAGCCUCACAGAGAAGAUCUAUCUUCCACUAUAAUACUUCGGUCAAGAUCCAUGCCCAAGGAAGAUACAUUUCUCAAUAUCAUCAACUAUGCUCACUGGGGUGUAAAGACUCCAGAGGGGCUUCUCUUAUUAGCCUAAACUCUAUAACAAAGCCAACGAAGGCUUUUUCAAUAUCUCGCUACGGCGUGCAGCCCGACCCUAUGCAGCUACUCAAUAUCAGGCUCUCAGCCUUAGUCAGUCAUAACUCACCAGUCUUACACACACGGGCUCAAAUUUCAUGAUAAUAGCUUGGAUAAUAACAUGAGGUAUCAAAUAUCAAUAACCGAGAUUGAGACACGAUAUAAUAUAUAUAUGAAUAGGACUGAGUACAGAAUUCAACAAAACAAAUGAUAUGACAGCAAAAAAUGACCUCUUGGGUCUCAAUAAUAUUGGCGUGAGCCCUUCACAUGAAAAUUAUCAUGAUUCAUGGCUCAUCAACUAAAUCACAUACUUACAACAUAAGUAUCGGUAUAAAAUAACCACUAAGCGGUGCUCUCGAAUGAUCCAGGCCGUGUUUCUCACAGUGCACGCCCACAUGCCCGUCACUUGGCAUUGCGUCACCUCUAUAAUAAUCAUUGAACACAUAGUUCAGGGUUUCUUACCCUAAGAACCAAGAUUGGAAGCGUUACUUACCUCAUUUCAAGCCAAACUCUAGCUCGUGACGUACUUUCCUCUCAAUUAGGCUUCCAAAUGCCUCAAAUCUAACAAAAAUCAGCUUAUAACCAUCAAAAGACGCAAAAGGAGUGAAACCCAUACGAAAUUAAUCAAAUUAAAUUCCAAAUCUCGAAAUUAACCAAACUCAAACCUCGGGCCCACAUUUGGGAAUCCGCAAAAAUUACAUCAAUAGAAUCCUCAACAUCUCACGAGUUCAUACAUAUCAAAUAUACCAACAUCCAACAAUAAAUGACCCCUCAAAUCCCUAAAUUCAGUUUUCCAAUUCCCAAACCCUAAAAUCCAAUUUUUUUGCUACUGAUUUUCCCGUAGAUUUUACACUUCCAAUGUCAAAAAUCAUCAUAUAUACAAGUUUAGGGACCAAAAACGUUACCUCUACGAAACCCUUUUGAAUACUCCCUUGAAUUUGCUCUCCCAAGCUUUUUCCCGUUUGAGAAGUGAUGGAAAAUAACCCAAAUUCGCGAAGGGCAAAAUAUAUAUGUUCUGCCCCAGUAGAAUCGUAUCUGCGUUCACAAUGCUCACACCUGCGGAACCCACUUAACAACACCUGCGAUUGAAAUCUUGUACCUGCGCUAGAUAAUCUCCAUCUGCUGGUCCAACCAUUUAUCCCCUAGGCCGCAUCUACGUUUCCCCUUUCACUUAUGCGGGUCCACACCUGUGGUGCCCAAGCCAUAGGUUCGGUUAUGACAUGAGCUUUAGCACUUCAGCUACUAAUUCCAAUUUAAAACCUCCCGUCAACCGUCAAAAAUUACUCUGAGGCCCCUGGGAGCUCAACCAAAAGUACGAACAAGUCAUAUACCAUAUUCUAAACUUAUAUCAAUCUUCGAAACACCUAAAACAAUAUCGAAACACCAAAUCAACCACGAAUAUUCAAGCCUAAGAACUCCAAAACUUCUAAAUUCCGCUUUUGAUCAAAAAGUCUAUCAAAACUCGCCUGAGUGACCUGAAAUUUUACACACACGUGACAUAUGACACAACAAACCUACUGCAACUUCUGAAAUUCCAUCCUGAUCCCUAUAUCAAAAUUUUCACUACCAACCGGAAAAUACCAAAAUUCCAAUUUUGUCAAUUCAAGCCUAAAUCUACUCUGCACCUCGAAAACUAAUUUCGAUGACGCUCCUAAGUCCUAAAUCACCUCCCUAAACUUGUCGAAUCAUAAAAACUAAAUUUCAAGAUCGUUUGCUCACAAAUCAACUUCCGGUUGACUUUUUCAACUGUAAGACGAAUUUAAGAGACUAAGUGUCUCAAACCUUUCAAAAACCCAUUCCAAAUUCAAACCGAACAACCUGAUACCAUAUGACAUAGAUGAACAAACCAUAUAGAAGCAGAAAUGGAGAAAACGGGACGAUAAAUCAUGUAACGACCGGUCGAGUUGUUACAUCAACUUCAUAAAUCAUUUCAAUUACAAUUACAUGUCAAAAUUUCAUAUUAUAGGCCUAAACAUCAAAGAAAAUCAAUUGAGAAAAAUGUAGAAUGAUUUCAAACACCUCUGAUGGUCGAGUUUUGCCUUCACAAAUUUAGCCAUCUUAGUAGUCACCUCUAUAAAUGACAGCUAUGUUUAUUGUAGCAAUAACCUUCCCAUGUCAUGGCUUUACUACCAAAACAACUUAGUAUAGCAUUAGGAAUAUAUUUGAAUUGGAAUCAUGCUCAAAAUAGCUCGGUAUAUUAGAACAUGAUCUAAUAUAUAUAACAUAUGUUUUAUAGAAGUUGAAGGGCAUAUUUCAAUUUCAAUCCCUUAAACUUUUACAACCUUUCACAUGAAAUCUAAAGUACCACAUCACAAAAGACACAUAAAUGCCUGAGAAAUCACUGAAGAACACUUGAUUAUGUCCAAUUCAAACAUGUGAGUUCAUAUAUGUGUACCUUAACAUCAGAAUAGGCAACAAAAAGAAAAUAGGUCUCUGAAAAUAGGGAAGAAGGAAACAACAAAAAUACAGCAGCAAAAAACCAAAACACAACAGCUUUACACCUCAAAUCAUAAAUCAUGGCAACAUGGAGUAAACCAGCAAAAAUGGAGAUGAAAAGCUGUAUGGAAACCUCUCUUUUCAUUUGUUUUCUAUUUUCUAUUUUUAUCUUACAAACCCAGAAGAAUAAAAGACUCAGAAUGAAAAUGGCGAAACCAGUCUCUUAAUUUCUCAUGUUUUUAUCGUACUUUUUAUUCUUCUAACAAUGUAAAGAUUAAUGUAUUUUAUAGAAGAGAAAAAUGCAAAUAUUUUUGGCGUCCCCUUAAUGAGUGUGUGAGUAAGUCUCAUAUAGUGUGCGUGUGUUCUAAGCGAUUGGGAAUCAUCUUGGGAAGGUACAAGCCCUAAAAAUAAGGAAAAGAGCAUUUUUCUUUAACUAAUUUGUGUACAGCUAUCCCUUUUUGUCAGAUAUUUUUAUUUUUUUCAACUUCUUUAUUAAGAAACUGGGACAACUGUCACUAUUCGAGAAGCUUCUUUUAUUUUUCCAUUUUUAAAAUUCUGUAUUUUACUGUUUUUAUUACUCCAAGUUUAUCUAAAUGCACUUCAGGCCUUUUUCUAGAAGCUUCCCAUAUCACCAACUCAGAUUCCCUAAUUUUGGUGUAUUCUUUGGUCCCCUCAAUUUCUUGUAAUUGUUACUUAUUCCUAAAGCAGGCCAAAAUUUAGAUUCUAAUUAAACAAGCAGAUGUUAAUAUAACUAAUUUAGAAAAAGACUUAAUUAAUUAGGACAACACAAUAAACAAUUAAUCAAAUUUUAAGAAAGCAAAAGUUCUUUGAAUUUACAAAUCUUGACUAGCCAUCAUGCUUCAAGACUAAAAACAGAUACUUUUAACAAAUUUGAAUCUUGACCAAACGGAAUUCAAACAUACACAACUUAACUAAAUUAAUAAUUUUUUAAAUCAUAAGACAAAAAUUAGAUAAAAAGAAAUUAGUCCCAAGUAAAAUCUAAACUAAGUGACAGAAAAGAGAUGAUCAAUUAUGUGCUCUACCUAAAUUAAACAGGGAUAAUAGAAAAACAAAAAAACGAGAAGAAGAAAAGGAACGUUGGAAAGGAAGAAGAGUGUACUAUUUAUGAACCAAGAAAACAUGAGAGAAAUCAGCGAUUGCCGGUAACUUUGGACGGAAUUCCAACACCUUCAAAAUGAACUAAGACUAAUGCUAAUCGAUUGUUCUCAAUGAGCACAAUCGUUUAAUGCAAGUCUCAUGUCAAAUCGAGUCUUGAAACAAUUAAAAUCAAAAAAAGGAGCGAAAUAAGGUUUUGAAUAUUUACAAGAUUUACAAGACGAUGAGUUCUAUUGGUUUUUUUGGGGAAAUAGAUAAGGGAUUCACAUAUAGGAGAUGAUGGGGAUUGUAUGGUAAAAAUUUAAGGUGGUUUGGAGUGGGGCCGCUGCCUAGGGCGACUUUCGGCAGCGGUAGUGGACUGAGGUUUGAGAGAAGAGAUAUGGGAGGUGGAUGGGGAAAUAAGGUUGGUUCUCUAGGGUUGGGGGGGAUUUUGAACAGGUUUAAGUGGGAAGGGGCUUCAGCUCACAGCCGUCUGAUCUAGAUCAAACAAAUGCACAUGAUCAAUAAUGAUCAAAUGCUGUCGUUUGGCUUAAAUGGUGGGGCUGGACCGGAUUUUGGUAAAG
rnacentral:lncRNA from 1 species